rnacentral:rRNA from 1 species
AACGAACGCUGGCGGCGCGCCUAAUACAUGCAAGUCGAGCGAGAAGACGUAGCAAUACGUUUGUAAAGCGGCGAACGGGUGAGGAAUACAUGGGUAACCUACCCUCGAGUGGGGAAUAACUAGCCGAAAGGUUAGCUAAUACCGCGUACGCUCCUUGGACUUCGGUUCAGGGAGAAAGCGAUACCGUGGGUAUCGCGCUCUUGGAUGGGCUCAUGUCCUAUCAGCUUGUUGGUGAGGAACGGCUCACCAAGGCUUCGACGGGCAGCUGGUCUGAGAGGACGAUCAGCCACACUGGCAC